GGGGGGGAAGAAAGCAAUUUUAAACCAAGUUCCAGCACUGAGCAAUCAAUAGGGUACAAAAAAAAAGAAGAAAGGCUCCUGGCCUCCUUCACCACAGUCGGAAAACUCUUCUCUUUGUUUUCUGUCUCACAAGACUCGUCUACCGAUGGUGUAAGAAGCUAAGCUGCAUGAUCUAAAGUGAACAGAAACCAGGGACUGGCAGGUACAUCGGUCUGAAUUAAUCAACUGUAACAAAAUGAACAUACAGUGAAGUCCAGGUAUGUUGGUAACAGAGGGCCCUGAGGAAGGUGUUGCUAGAAAAGUGAUGGUCAGAGAUGGAAGGCUUGGACUUUCCCUUGAUCGUUCAAAAUUGCAGCAUUUGACCCAGAAAAGUUUAACGUGAUUAGCCCUGAGCCCUGGAUGUCUGGGGCAUGUAUGUAUUAAGCAGUACACACUGCUCCAGGGCUAUCCGUCACUAACUCUGCAUGCAGGUGCUCCUACUGCUCAGUAGGUGUGAGGGAGUUUGCUCUGUUCCGACCGAGGAGGAAGCUUUCCUACGCUUGCAGUGCAAGAAGCACUGUGCUGUGCACAAACUUUAUUCCCUGCGCGCGCAAAGAGGAAACGUGAGAAACGCUGCCAUCUCCUGCUCAGAAUUGAUAGAGCCCUUAGAUGAGCAUGGUGCUACUUGGAAGCAGAGUUCCAAGACUUCAGUUUGUCCCCUCAGUCAGGGGCUUCAACCCAGAUAACCAGGAGGAUGCUACAACUACAAGGAAUGCCUGGUGAGCCCAGUGCUGUGUGACCUGGUCAGGAAGAUCACAUGCAACUCACUGGCAGACCAAGGAAGACAGACUGCUGUAACAGACAGACUGUUUUAUGCCUGGGACAAUGGCUGUGCCCUAGAUGUUCUUCCAUGGUCUGAUGCAAAGUGGUUUCUCUGGGAUGCCUUGGAGAGGCCAGAAAAAGUACACCAGCAUUGAGUUGCCACUCAACAUCUCCCUCCUCAUCUGCUGAAUGCAGGGACUUCUCUCCGUAAUUUUGGGCUUCUUCA